GUCUACGGCCAUACCUAGGCGAAAACACCAGUUCCCGUCCGAUCACUGCAGUUAAGCGUCUGAGGGCCUCGUUAGUACUAUGGUUGGAGACAACAUGGGAAUCCGGGGUGCUGUAGGCUUCU
rnacentral:rRNA from 1 species